AUAAAACUUAGAAGUAUCAUGAAAUAGCCAAAUGGUAAACGCAUUUUAAAACUGGCCAAUAUGGCCCACCGUCGGUCGGGAGCAGGACCUGUAGCUGAGAGGAGGCAGUGAGAGGGGACAGUCACGGCCUCCUGGCCCAGAGCACCCGAGACCCCCACAGGUCGUCCACACGCCAGCCGCCAGCCGGCGAGAUCUCCUGACCUGCCCGAACUUCUGGGUGGCAUUCUGGAACACCAAGCCGGAUGAAAAUUAAUAGCAAGUCAGCACCAUCAAUCAGAAAGACGGUGGAGAAGAAGUUUUAAUGGUGAACAUUUUUGCCACAACAGAUAGUCACAAGUCAAGCAGGCAGGGGAGAGUUCUUCCUCGCAGUGCUUUGCCUGUGAAGGAUGCAGUGAUCGGUCUGCACUUGUGGCACUUGCUCUGAAACCCAGCCCUGGAACUUUUCUUAAAAACUGCAGUCAAUGCAGCCAUCCACGCGUGCUGUGGUUACAUCUACUGUUUUCCCACAAAACAUCAUCUUUAAUAAAUUCACAUGCUACUGAGAAAAUGUCUGCUACAUCUUUCCUUUAAUAGCUUCUAAACAACAAAAUUUUUUAGCUCUCACCACUAAACAAACUUUAGUAAAUAUCAUGAACUGAUAUGGGUAAAAUAACACUGU